CUGGUCAGUGAGCCUCGACGUUUUCCUCUCGCUGCUCACUCUUUACUCUCGCGUGGUCUCUUCGGUUCACGCCCGCUCCUUGGCAUGAUUCCUCCUUUGGCCAUGGCAUUCUCCUCCAUUCCUCCUCCUGCGACGGCGUUCUCAACACAAAACCCCAAAUCGGACUUGGAUCCAACUUUCUUCUGAGUUCGUGAGUAUAAAUUCUUAGCUAGAUCAUAUCAUUGGGAGGAAAAUGAAACAAAGAUAAUUAGGCAUGCCUUUGAAGCUAUUAGCUCUAGACAACUUAGGAAAGUAUGAGUCAAGCAUUAGAUCAAAUGAUGUUAGACAUGAGACUUCCUAUUCAACAAGACAUAUUUGGGGCUAUUUGAAAUUUGGGUGAAAGGGUCUCAACUUCAUAGUGAAAUGUUAGUAGCUCAAAUUGCUUGAGGCAACAAGAUUCCAUUGAUGAUUGUUUAAAAUAACUUUUGUAUGAGGCGCUUUGAACUUUUUAUGCAUGUACAUUUUAUAUUUUGUUCAAUUCUAUGUAUGAAAUGGUUUGAACUUUAUAAUUAUAAUUGAUGUAGUAUUGAACUUUUGUUA